AUUGCCACUGUGUAUGAAAUGUGCUAUAUAAAUAAACUUGCCUUGCCUUCGCUAAUCCUCAUCUAUAGUGUUCUUCAGAAAAUCACAGAGGUUUUGAACAAAGUAACUAGCAGAAUCUUAAUCAUUCAUUAUGUUGAACGUUGAACGGCCUCAUGGGUAAUUUGAGUGUCAUUCUACUGCACUGACUGCUGUUGAUCUGCUGGUCUUUUCUUCCUGAAGUUCGGCAGCACUGAAACAUCCUUCAGACUCCAGCGGUGGCUUUCAGGGGAAUCGAUAACCUGUCACUUCCAACAGAACCGAGAGGAUUGACUGGCCGCCACACACAAUAAGAGGAAAAACAGAGCCCAUUUUUCUUGUUCAAGCCAACACGAUGUUAUACUGGAGAGAUCUUCACGAGACCUGAGAGGAUUCAUCAGUGAGUCACUGAGUCUUCAGUCUGGAUGAAGAGCUCAUGCAUUAUUAAUAACCUCCUCUAUGAUGCGUCUAUGAACAAAGGCUCUCUGGAACAGUGACACACACACACACGCUCUUGAAAACCAUCGGCAAACAUGGAAAAUAUUCCAGAAGAUGAUAAGAA